rnacentral:rRNA from 1 species
CCUACGGGAGGCAGCAGUGAGGAAUAUUGGUCAAUGGACGCAAGUCUGAACCAGCCAUGCCGCGUGCAGGAAGACGGCUCUAUGAGUUGUAAACUGCUUUUGUACGAGGAUAAACGCAGAUACGCGUAUCUUUCUGUAAGUAUCGUACGAAUAAGGAUCGGCUAACUCCGUGCCAGCAGCCGCGGUAAUACGGAGGAUUCAAGCGUUAUCCGGAUUUAUUGGGUUUAAAGGGUGCGUAGGCGGUCGGAUAAGUUAGAGGUGAAAUCCCGAGGCUCAACUUCGGAAUUGCCACUGAUACUGGUCGGCUAGAGAGCAGUUGCGGUAGGCGGAAUGUAUGGUGUAGCGGUGAAAUGCUUAGAGAUCACACAGAACACCGAUUGCGAAGGCAGCUUACCAAGCUACUUCUGACGUUGAGGCACGAAAGCGUGGGGAGCAAACAGGAUUAGAUACCCGUGUAGUC